rnacentral:rRNA from 1 species
ACAUCCAGCGAACUUGGCAGAGAUGCCUUGGUGCCUUCGGGAACGCUGAGACAGGUGCUGCAUGGCUGUCGUCAGCUCGUGUUGUGAAAUGUUGGGUUAAGUCCCGCAACGAGCGCAACCCUUAUCCUUUGUUGCCAGCGAUUCGGUCGGGAACUCAAAGGAGACUGCCGGUGAUAAACCGGAGGAAGGUGGGGAUGACGUCAAGUCAUCAUGGCCCUUACGAGUAGGGCUACACACGUGCUACAAUGGCGCAUACAAAGAGAAGCGACCUCGCGAGAGCAAGCGGACCUCAUAAAGUGCGUCGUAGUCCGGAUCGGAGUCUGCAACUCGACUCCGUGAAGUCGGAAUCGCUAGUAAUCGUGGAUCAGAAUGCCACGGUGAAUACGUUCCCGGGCCUUGUACACACCGCCCGUCACACCAUGGGAGUGGGUUGCAAAAGAAGUAGGUAGCUUAACCCUCGGGAGGGCGCUUACCACUUUGUGAUUCAUGACUGGGGUGAAGUCGUAACAAGGUAAGCGUAGUGCU